rnacentral:rRNA from 1 species
UACAGGAGGGUGCGAGCGUUGUCCGGAAUCACUGGGCGUAAAGGGCGCGUAGGUGGUGGCUUAAGCGUGCGGUGAAAGCUCGGGGCUCAACCCCGAGUCGGCCGUGCGAACUGGGCUCACUGGAGCAUAGUAGAGGCAGGUGGAAUUCCGGGUGUAGCGGUGGAAUGCGUAGAGAUCCGGAAGAACACCGGUGGCGAAGGCGGCCUGCUGGGCUAUGGCUGACACUGAGGCGCGACAGCGUGGGGAGCAAACAGG